UGGGGAAUGCAACCUUUUCAUCGAAGAGAGCAGAGUUUAUAAUGCCAAGUUCACGGCUGGAUGCCAUAUUUGAAGUCGUAUAAUUGGAUACAAAGGUGCUCAUUUGAGGGCAAUUUUGUAUGCGCAGCUCUUCCAAGACAGGACAUUCAACUAAAUUACUUGUGCAGAAUCGCGUGAGUUUUGGAAGAUUCACGAGCUUCAGGGACUCUAGUUGAUGGAGUAACAUCUUACUCAUUAUUUCUUCUUCCAAUCCUUCCUUGACCAUCACUUCUUCCAUCAUCUUACAAUUGCGUAUCUGAAGCCUUUUCAAAUGCACAACACUUGAGAGUGAUAAUAAAUUUUUCAAAUUAUCACAUCCUUUCACAAUCAGGAUAGUCAAAUUAGGAAAAGAUACCUUUCUACUGAAAAGUGGCAUUGGU
rnacentral:misc_RNA from 1 species